rnacentral:ncRNA from 2 species
CGAACCCGCGCGGGAGAGUCCCGGUCCCGGCCGGCGCCGAAGGAGCAACUCCUCCCCGGAACCUCUCAGGCACCAGGACCGUGCGGGCGAG